ensembl:rRNA 5S_rRNA 5S ribosomal RNA
GCUUACGGCCAUACCAGCCCAAGAACGCCCGGUCUUGUCUGAUUCUGAUCUCGGAAGCUAAGAAGGCUUGGGCCUGGUUAGUACUUGGAUGGGAGACCUCCUGAGAAUACCAGGUGCUGUAAGCU